UAGCCAGAAGCCCAGCCCACAGCCCCCGAUUCCUCCCCCUCUCCCUUUCCUUCCUCUGCCACCGCCGCCACCACCUGCGACCUCCUCGCAGCCGCUGCGACUGUCGCCACCACCUGCAACCUCCCCGCAACCGCCACCACCGCCCACACCCUCCCCAACGGCCGACUCUACCACCCCUUUUCUCCUCCCCUUAGCUUCUCCUCACCAUCGGCGACCUCCCCUCCCCCUCGCACCAGAUCGACCAGCAGGCCAGGCAUAGCAGAGUGGAGCGGACGGGCGUGCCAGAACCAGCAUAACACGGUCGCGGGCGGAGAGGGCGAGGCUGAGUCGCUGGCGGCGGCGGGCCCGAUCUGGGCGGGCAUGACGGACGGCCUACGCGAGCAGCGUAGGGGCGCAGGCAGCCGACGCCUCUUCAUGGAGGUAGUGGUCCCACGGAUGGCGUCACAGCAUAGCUCGAUGAUGGCGGCACGGUUUGGUUUGGUGGCGCGUUGGGAAAGGAGGCUGACAUGGGGAAGGCGCCGCGCUUAGUGCCUAUUGACAACACCAUCCCCGCUGAUGCCUAUGGGCUUUUCGUUGGAACGCGCUGCCGUCAGUCCCGUGCACCGUCUCUUCCUCUCCUCGAGGAGUCACGGUGAACGCGGGAGGAGGAGCCCGAGUGGAUGAGACUGCGAUGCAGGAAGCCUCGCCACCAUCGUCGGCGUCGUCCUCCUAGAGCAGGGAUGGCAGAUCCAUGCUAUUUCUGAGUGGUGAAGUCAUCUUCUCCACCGGAUUUUGUGCAGGGCGUCACCUCUGGCAAGGUCAGGGACCAACGCCUGUCCUUCUCCGGGAUCCCGAAGUACCACUACAAAUGUGACCACUGGUUGUUUGUAUAAAUGCUUAAGGGGGACUGCUCAAGGAAGGGCAUGUGUGUUUCAGAGAUAGAUAUGGAAAUUGGGCGCUGGACCAACAGGAGAAGAGGAAGGAGUGGAAUCAACUGAUGUGCAUUACAUUUCUGUCUCUAUGGAACUCAGUUAUAUACUGGGGCAAAUUAUGUUUCAGUGAUACAAAUGACUGAUGUUGGUUUGGGUAUAUGUGGUCUAGAAGGUCGUCAAGUAGUUAUGGCCUCAGAUUUUGUUAUGGAGCAGUUUUGCUUUGUUAAGAAAUCGCUUAUUCGCAGAGGCACUGGAACCAUCAGAUACAAUAUCAGUACAAUGGACAUAUGGAAUGUGGGAUUCUUGAUACAUCACCAUUAUUAAAGUCUAUGACAUCAACAAUGUCCACCUGGUACUCCACUCACUACUGGUUCUUGCCUCUUUGACCAUCCAUUAGGUUCAAAAACAACAUAUGUAUGACAUAAAAACCGUCCUUGGAAGGAAUUGGGCUGAUAGAAAAGAGGCUUAAGAAUAGAACCAUUGGAGGUAAUCACCGUCUUCCUUCUAACUAUUUACGUUUGUAUUUAUGGUGCGAAGGGCUAAGCUCGCAACACUGUAGGGGUUUGGAUAACUUAGAUAAUGAGAUUUUAGUUUUGGAGGUACAUAUUUAUGUAGUGCCUUGUUCUUGCAACCUUGAAAUUACUAUAGUUCUGGUAAAUCUAUCUGAACAUGGAAAUAAAAAUCAUCUAAAUCUAAGCAGCCUCGUGUAACCUUAUCGCGGACAGAAGUUGAAAAUCUUAAUCUCUAGGAACAAGCAUUGAAUGUACAUAUAAGGUUGGUAGCUACUGUAGGUCGCAAAGGUAUUGAAUGUAAUUUGUUUGCUGCCUAAAAUAGUUACAUGGUCUAAAAAUAAUUAUUCUUGAAGUGAAAUGCAUGAAAAGGUGAGGAAGUUAACUAAAGAGGACAACAGUCAGAGGUAAACUAUGUUCCUUCCAUGUUUGAUUUUUGUAUACUUAAUAGCAUGGCACUGUUCUAAUCAUGUACUAAUUGAUGACUCUUCUUUACAAUUCAGAAUAAUAGCCGAGGAGUCUUAGCUUCUGUUGUCUCUCUUCUUAUGUCCAGUGGUUAUCAUUUGUCAUGGGUUGAUUUAAUUUUGUAGAACUAUAGAUGCCUGAGUUUCUAAGGGUGAGUUUUCAUUAGUGAAACAUUUCUGUCCAUGUUGGAUUGCCAAUGACUUCGAAUAGACAUGUUGUGAAUCUGUUGCUUCUGGUCGUGCAAUAUGUUUAAAUGGUACACUAUGUGUCACAAACGUUGAUUUGUUGCUCUACAUCAUUCGUGGUGAACAACUACAUACAUUUCUUGUUUCUACCUUACCACAAUAUCAUAUUUAUGCCCGUGCCCUGUCAUUUUCAUUUGUAGGUCGCCCUCAUGAGACCUUUUAUAUUGGAGGAUUUGAUGAUCACCGUGAGUUGGGAAACUAGGUGAAACCAGCACGUCAACAAACUGGAGCAGCUCAUUGCUGUGAAGAAAUCUACCAUCCCAUACCACGUCUGCCAUAUGAGCAAGACAUUGGCAAGACCUAGCUAGAGGAUGUCUACAAUCUGCAGUCCUCUGAAAGAUCUGCCCAUCAAGUUCGGAAUCGGAAGCCCUCACACAGUUGCUCGUCUCAUCACAACGACUUAGAACAGAGCGACAAUAACCACAAAAUGGACCUAGUUCUUUGAGGACUCCAACAUGAAGGAAGGCAAGGUGUAUGCUUUUGCUUUCAAACACAAGGCAAACAUUCGAUUGCUCACCGUACAUCGCCUCAAAGAGCAUGCUGCUAGUAGCCACAAAUCGCAUAUACAUAGCCCGCCUAGCAAAGUUUCUGCACCAAGAUGCUCUUCUAUCAUGUAUGUUAUUAUCGAAAUUGCUUUCCCUGAUUUUUAAAUGAGCUACAUAAUGUAAUGUAUCAUCCAGCCUGCUCUUAAGCUGAGUGCUAUUCCUAGACUGUCACAUGUAAUAGAUCAGAUCUACUUGAUGUUGUUUAUGAAUAGCUCCUCAGUUCCGUUUGCAUGUA